rnacentral:rRNA from 1 species
AGACGAACCGUCCAAACGUUAUUCGGAAUCACUGGGCUUAAAGGGUGCGUAGGCGGCGCGGAAAGUUGGGUGUGAAAUACCUCGGCUCAACCGAGGAACUGCGCCCAAAACUUCCGUGCUCGAGGGAGAUAGAGGUGAGCGGAACUUAGGGUGGAGCGGUGAAAUGCGUUGAUAUCCUAAGGAACACCGGUGGCGAAGGCGGCUCACUGGAUCUCUUCUGACGCUGAGGCACGAAAGCUAGGGUAGCGAACGGGAUUAGAUACCCCGGUAGUCC